rnacentral:lncRNA from 1 species
GAAUUUAACCGAAAUAGUUAUAGGAGAACAAAGUGGUUAGGACAUCUGUGAAGACUUACGGCCCGUUUGGUUUGGAGUAAGUGGAGGAGCGGAACUCAAAUUCUAUCACUUUCGGCGUUUGUUUUGGUAUAAGUUAAAAAAAUAAUGUAACUCAAGUUAUGUUAAACCUCCAUUUCAUCUACUCUUGACUUCCACCUCUUAAAUACUGAACUCAAGUUCCACCACACUCAACCUUCUUUAAAAAUUAAUUAAAUAUUAAAACCUAAACUCUACUUUACAAUGGAUUAGAAUUACCUUUAAAUAAUAAUGGAGCAUUUAAUAAUUUGAUAUGUUGGAUUUUGUGGAGGUAAGUUUACCGCUAUAUUUAGGAGAUAACUGGAUUUAUUUAUUUACAUCUAAAGAACUAAUAGAAUUCAAAAAACUAGUUACAUUAGUAUUAAGUUACACCAAAAUAAACAAAAGAAGUACUUAAAUUUAAUUUUCAGCAUGUAUGGUUACAUCAGAACAAAUAAUGAAAAAAUAACCACACUUCAGGGAAACUCCAACACCACUAUACUUGAGUUAUGUUGGAUCUACAGAUUCGUCAAUUCAAAUGCCCC